UCGCCCAAUUUGUUCUUCAUUGGUUUCUAUUUCGUUUUAGAUUUUGCUAUUUAUGUCUGAAUUUUCUUAUCUGGACUGUUGGAUUCCCGGGAUGAAAGCUGAAAUGAAUUGGGUUUAGAUAUCUGUUUUUCUUUUGGUUCAUAACAUGGCACCUUGAACAUCAAGAUGAGCUCGAGUUCUUGCCUUCUCCCUGAAUUUUGCAGUAUUUCCUAUGAACACUGAGUUUUAUCAGCCUUAUCUUUCUUCAACUCCAUAAGGGGGUGGGGGGGGACAACCUAGUGGGCGUAUAAUUCGUUAUUUACUUUUUAGAAUUCUCUUCCAUUUCAAAAUAAGCAAUCUCAUUAUCACAGGACGGUAUCAUCCUGUAAUUAUGGAUACUGGGCAAGGACAUGGUAGUUGUUCGUUUAAUGGUCACUUCUUGUUUUGCCACUUUUGGCCAAGUGCUUCUGAUAUUUUGCCCCACCAACUCACUCAUCAGGUCAACCUCAAUGCCUUCCAUAUCCCACAUGGCCCUUGCAUCUGUCAUGGCCAUGGAGUCACUUUCCCCCCUUGUCUCGUUAGUAUUCUCAUACAAUCAAAUUGGUUAGACGAAGAAUCGACCUUAGGAUUUUUU